CUAGGCAAACGAGGAGCAUGGGUGACACUGUAUCAAGAAGUGCAGACGUCAAGGUCCACACCUAAUCAAAUGAUGCACCUAAAGGAUGAAGACGGUGAGAAGUAUUGUCCAGAAGACUUAAAACAUUAGAUCCUUGUCGGAGGAGGUCAAGAUCGUCGACUCAAGUCGCCUUUCCUGAUCAAGAAGGACGACCAUGGUGUUCCAAGCAUCGAGUGCAUAAUCAAUGGAUACUCUUUUCAGAAGACACUCUACGACACCGGAUCUAACGUCAACAUAAUGACCGCAGUCACUUAUCAGCUCCUGCAUGGAACCAUGCCCCUACAACCAAUAUAUAUUCAGCUGCAGAUGAUUUUCAGAACAUUGACAUGGGAGAAGACGAGUAUGAUCUACCUACCAUCCUUGGAUGACCGUUCCUCAAACACUAUCAAAGCCAUCAUCUAUAUUGGAACCGGAGAAGUCCACAUGCACUUCCCCUCUGAGAAGGUACGCCACUACUUUAAUGAUUCUAACUAUAUAGUUGAAGAUUCUAAGCAGGUCAGGACAAGAAGAAGACAACGCAACCGCAACCAGAGGAGGCAAAUCAUCAAGGACGGAUGGGUAGACUACGAAGGAGAAGUGAUAAGGUCUGAAGACAUACAACUUGAACUGAACUGUCCUGAGGAGACCGUAGCACCGAGUCAGAUGUGGAGAGAGAAGAUAGUUAUACACGAAAAGGAGGCGCCGUCGGAAUCACCGACUACGCCAUCCAACGAAUCCCAGGACGACUGAGAAAACACAAGGAGUCUCGUUCGGAGGACUUAAAAACACCGAAAGUCUUGCCAAGAGGUAAACUUGGUAGUUAUCUUUUUCCCUUCAAUUAUUCAAUUAUAGUUUGCUUAGUUAAUCAGGUUCAUGCUAUCUUGAAAAGAAAAUAAAAAUGUUAAAAAAUAGUAAGCCCCAUGUGAGUAUGCUCAUGGCAUAAAACCCAUAGGUAUAUUGACUGUGGUGGCAUAAAAUAAAUAUGUUUUCAUCUUACAAUAAAUAUAUAAAAAUAAUAAGUGCAUGAUCCUGCUAAAUAAGUAACGUUUAUUGAGGAGGCUCAACAUGAUAAAGGCUAGAUAUUUAUGCUAACACUUAACCAGUUCCACAAAGCUUUGUUGUCUAUUUGAGCUCCACAAAAUUUAAGAAUCGAAGAAGACUAGGAGACGGAGGACAUCCUAAUCGCUGUCAGGGUGCUGCCGACUUUCAAAUACACCUCCACCACCUGCUAGCUACAUCAGAAGAAAUUACGUCAAAAUCCAGCUUAGGGGAGAGCACCCCCAUUUAUCCAGCUAAGUGUUUCUACUCACGUUUAUACUUUACUCAAAAUAAUAAAAAGAUGCAUAAUCAUAAAAACCCAAAUAAAGAUUUUAUGUUUAAUAUAUAUCUUUGCUUAGUUUGCUAAAUAAAUAAAUAAAUAAAGUUUGCUAUGAACCCUCAUGAUAAGCUCUCAUAUGGAAAUGAUGAAUAGUUGCUCUGCCAUGACUAGUUCUUAAAAUUGAAAUCUCUCUCAAGUUUAGGCAUAACUGUUAUGAAUUAAGAUUUGCCCUAAACCUGAACUUGUGGGAAGAGUACUUGAUCUAAAGUCUAAGUUGUUAACGGAUAUGAUAUGGGAAGGUUGAGCUGCUGUUUAUCUGUUCCUAGAGAUGCUAGAAUUCUGGAGAAUUUUAUCUUUGAAAAAUCUUUAAAAUAUCACAUGAUGAGUUCCUGUAUGAUGAGAGUUUAAAAUCCUACCACAGCCAUAUAUACAUGCUUAUUAGACUUUGAGCCAAACAUUUACUUUUUACUACUUAUGAGCAUUGAGUGUGGUCAAGCUGUGUAGACCCUUAGGAGCUUGUCAUGUGGUUAAAAUCAAGAUUCACUUGCACGUUCACUCAUACAUGCUACUUCUACUCUGGAAGUACCAUCCACAUAUAUCCACUCAUUUCCAUCUCCAGAUUCACCCAAAAUUAUUCUACUCCUAAUCCGGGAGAGAAUAGCCAAAAACAUUUUCCUAUCCCUGUUAUUCCCUGUGAAAUAAAUGCUCCAGUUAUUUUGGUUACUACCACUUGCUACAUUAUUUCAGGAGAUGAGUGCUCUAAAAAAAGAAAAAAAAGAGAAAAAAAAUAAUAAUACGAGGAAAUAAAAAGGGGCAAGUGCCCGGAACCUCGAAGAAAAGAAAAAGUAAGACGAGAGGUAAAAAUGGACAAGUGUCCGACAGUAGAAUUAGAGGUACAAGAUACCCACCUGAGAGGAAAGAAAAAGAAAAUAUAGAGCAUCUCAUUCUCCCCAAAAAGCUUCAAAGUGCAAGAAAGGUAUGUAUCCCCUUAAAAGAGCAAAAAUAGAAUUAGAUUUUCACCAUUGUUAUCACCAUCAUCACCAUACACCAUUCUUUCGCCACACAUGCACAUCUUGAUUUGACUUAUUGACUUGUUCUUCUGGAUCCAUGGUUUGACUAUGCAAUAAAUGUCUUGUAAGUAUGUAUUAGCUGUCUCCCACCUAUGAGCUCCAGAUAUCAAAACCUUAUUAGAGUAGGGUGAGAGAGAAGGCAAUACCACUAUGCCUCAUACCACAAAUACUACAUACUUUGAGAGAAGGCAUAUACUAUUACUGCCUUAGAAAGGAUCCAGAAAUACCACAAAAGAGAGAUCUGAGAGAGUCAUACAAGGAAUCUCUGAGUUUUAUUUGAAAAUCUGCAAAAACUCCAGAGCUAUAGCUGAUCAAGAAUAAGAGACAUGGCGCUUGACUUGACUGUUCUAUCUCUUUAACUGCUCAAGACACAAGUGACGGCUACAAGCCCCAUGGUGAAAGGUAAAAUGAGUAAGUUUUAAGUCUUAACAGUUUAUUCUAACUGAGAGAUGAGAUCUUGCUUGAAUGCGUGUGUACCUUUAAGGCAUGAAACCACUGCACAAACUCUUGAGUCCAUCCUUGCUCAGGGACGAGCAAGAGGUAAGCUUGGGGGAGUUUGUUGACGGUCCUUAAGUAUCAAAUUUAAUUAUCAAAUAAACAAAGAAAAGGAUCCAAAUGAAAUCAACAUCUAGACUUAGGGUUUUAUCUGACAGAAUUCCACGAGUUUUGGUGUUUGUCUAUUUCUGCAGGGGGUUAUCAGGAAAUAAGGAAGAAAGGCCCACAUGUCGGGAUUACAUAGAGAUAUCAACGCACCGCGCAAUUUUCUACCAUCUAGAAGACUCCAGAAGCCACGGGAAGGAAGCGGAGGCCGAAAGGGGCUAGGCCCAGGGCGCCCGCCCUGGUGACCUGAGCGCCCGCCCCCUGCUGGAUCCUAUUCGGGACACUCUUCGCACACGAUGUUCCACUGACCUUUUGGAUCAAGAAUAACGUAGUACCACCUCGCCUACCGACCCAAAAACGCAUAGAGGAGGUGGACUAUAUAAGGAGACCCCCCUGGCCCCUAGAGAAGACAAGAAAUUAUCAUAGAGAUUGAGGGGUGCCCUCGAAGGAAAACCUAUUCUCUAAUUAAUAUUUCUUUUUAGGCUUAGCAACCAAUGUAAGUAGAAAUAGAUCUUCUAGUUUCUACUAGAUUGAGAGAGAUAGAGUGGAGGUGUAGAUCAGAGGAAGGCCGGCCUGUCGGUGUCUACUCCGAGUUGUACCUGCGGGAUCAAGUCUCCUAACUCGAGGCUUGCUUCUAAGAUUCUUCAGUAAUUCGACUUCUAAAUUCUAGUAAGUUCUUGUUUUAUUGUUCUUUGGUUUAUGAGUUUACUUUAAUCCUCUUCCGGUUGAGUAUUAGAGUAAUCAUUGCUAGCGUAAACGUGGUGUUUAGGCUAGGGUACUCAUAGAUAUCCCCUGACUAGCUGGACCGUGGUAGUAGCGAGGAACGUGACAUUUCCGAGUUACCUUUGUAUCCCAUAUCUUGUUAGCAGGACGGGUAGGUUUAUAGGUGCGGGUCGAACAUCCUUUGUGUUGUCUAGAUUCCGUGAGCCUCCCCAAUAGAACAGUAGAUCAUCCUUAUCAAGGUUAGAACGAGACUACGGUUGCAGUCUUCUCUAUACAUCACUCACAUCGAGAAACAAUCUUUGUAGCCUAAAGGGAUAGUAGCAAUAGAUUUGGUUAGUCAGAUGCACCCUUUCUCCCAGUGGUAAAAAUAUAAAUACGAUACUCUGGAAAACCUCCCGGGUGAAAUGCUCACCGAUAUCCGUGCGCUUGCGGAUCAUUUCCUGAUUGCGUUACCAAAUAUCAACACAAGCCUCGGGUUAGGAGACUUGAUCCCGCAGGUACAACCUCGGAGUAGACACCGAUAUGUCGGGCUUCCUCCGAUCUACACCUCCACUCUAUCUCUCUCAAUCUAGAAGAACUUGGAAGAACUAAUUCUAAUCUCACAUUGGAUGCUAAGCCCUAUGAGGUUGGAACCCUAAGGAACCUCUCUCUUUGAAUCCUCUCUAGAAAAUAUGCUAAUGAAUAAUGGGAUUGCUCUCCUCUAGGGGCCAGGGGUCCUACUUAUAUAGUCCCCUCAAGUGAAUCUGGGCCGUCGGAUCAAACCGACAUUGAUUGAAUGGUUCUCCUUGAUCCUUUAGGUCAGUGGAGCAUAAUCCGCGAGAUUGAACGUGAUUGGUUGAAACACCAGGGCGGGCGCCCAAGGGGGGAGGGUGGGCGCCCUGCCCCUGGGCCCGCUUGGCCUCCCGUUCGUUCCCGUGGCUUCUGGACUCCUCUAGAUGAUAGAAAAUUGUGCGGCACAUUAAUAUCUCUAUGAAAACCCGACAUGUGGGCCUUUCCUCCAUAUUUCCUGAUAACCCCCUGCAGAAAUAGACAAACACCAAAACUCAUGGAAUUCUGUCAGAUAAAACCCUAAGUCUAGGUGUUGGUUGCAUUUGGAUCCUUUUCUUUAUUUAUUUGAUGAUUAUAUUUGGUACUUAAGGACCGUCGACACAUGGUUUGACUAUGCAAUAAAUGUCAUGUAAGUAUGUAUACUUUAUCUCCCACCUAUGAGCUCCAGAUAUCAAAAUCCUUAUUAGAGUGGGGUGAGAAAGAAGGCAAUGUUACUAUGCCUUAUACCACAAAUACUACAUAUUUUGAGAGAAGGCAUAUACUAUCACUGCCUUGGUAAGGAUCCAGAAAUACCAUAAAAGAGAGAUCUGAGAUAGUCAUACAAGGAAUCUCUGAGUUUUAUUUGAAAAUCUGCAAAAACUCCAGAGCUAUAGCUGAUCAAGAAUAAGAGACAUGGCGCUUGACUAGACCGUUCUAUCUUUUAACGGCUCA
rnacentral:lncRNA from 1 species